GGUAAGCUCCAUGGGUACAGCAUGAGACUUUUAAUCUCAGGGUGAUGGGUUCGAGACCCGUGUUGGGCA